AGUGAACGCUGGCGGUAGGCCUAACACAUGCAAGUCGAACGGCAGCACAGGAGAGCUUGCUCUCUGGGUGGCGAGUGGCGGACGGGUGAGGAAUACAUCGGAAUCUACUUUUUCGUGGGGGAUAACGUAGGGAAACUUACGCUAAUACCGCAUACGACCUACGGGUGAAAGCAGGGGACCUUCGGGCCUUGCGCGUUUGAAUGAGCCGAUGUCGGAUUAGCUAGUUGGCGGGGUAAAGGCCCACCAAGGGGACGAUCCGUAGCUGGUCUGAGAGGAGGAUCAGCCACACAGGAGCUGAGACACGGACCAGACUCCUACGGGAGUCAGCAGUGGGGAAUAUUGGACAAUGGGCGCGAGACUGAUCCAGCCAUACCGCGUGGGUGAAGAAGGCCUUCGGGUUAUAAAGCCCUUUUGUUGGGAAAGAAAUCCAGCUGGCUAAUACCCGGUUGGGAUGACGGUACCCAAAGAAUAAGCACCGGCUAACUUCGUGCCAGCAGCCGCCGUAA
rnacentral:rRNA from 1 species